GACGAACGCUGGCGGCGUGCUUAACACAUGCAAGUCGAACGGUGAACUCCGCUUGCGGGGGGAUCAGUGGCGCACGGGUGAGUAACACGUGGGCAACCUUCCCUCAGCUCUGGGAUAACUCCAAGAAAUUGGGGCUAAUACCGGUUAUGACCGCUGACCGCAUGGUCUGGUGGUGGAAGGAUUUAUCGGCUGGGGAUGGGCCCGCGGCCUAUCAGCUUGUUGGUGGGGUAGUGGCCUACCAAGGCGACGACGGGUAGCCGGCCUGAGAGGGUGACCGGCCACACUGGGACUGAGACACGGCCCAGACUCCUACGGGAGGCAGCAGUGGGGAAUAUUGCGCAACGGGCGAAAGCCUGACGCAGCGACGCCGCGUGGGGGAUGACGGCCUUCGGGUUGUAAACCUCUUUCAGCAGGGACGAAGCGAAAGUGACGGUACCUGCAGAAGAAGCACCGGCCAACUACGUG
rnacentral:rRNA from 1 species